rnacentral:rRNA from 1 species
UACAGAGACUGCAAGCGUUAUUCGGAUUCACUGGGCGUAAAGGGUGCGCAGGCGGUCGGGUGUGUCAGAUGUGAAAUCCCGAGGCUCAACCUCGGAACUGCGUCUGAAACUACUCGACUAGAGUACUGGAGAGGGUAACGGAAUUCACGGUGUAGCAGUGAAAUGCGUAGAUAUCGUGAGGAACACCAGAGGCGAAGGCGGUUACCUGGACAGUUACUGACGCUCAGGCACGAAAGCAUG